rnacentral:rRNA from 1 species
CCUAACACGCUGGCGGCGCGCCUAACACAUGCAAGUCGAACGAGAAAGUCCGCAAGGAUGAGUAAAGUGGCGUACGGGUGAGUAACACGUGGAUGAUCUGCCCUUUAGUGGGGAAUACCGCUGGGAAACCGGCGACAAUACCGCAUAAGCUCGAGAGAGGAAAGCAGCAAUGCGCUGAAGGAGGAGUCCGCGGCCGAUUAGCUAGUUGGUAGGGUAAAGGCCUACCAAGGCUGUGAUCGGUAGCCGGCCUGAGAGGGCACACGGCCACACUGGCACUGAAACACGGGCCAGACUCCUACGGGAGGCAGCAGUGGGGAAUCUUGCACAAUGGGGGAAACCCUGAUGCAGCGACGCCGCGUGAGCGAUGAAGCCCUUCGGGGUGUAAAGCUCUUUCGGCAGGGAAGAUUAUGACGGUACCUGCAGAAGCAGCUGCGGCUAACUACGUGCCAGCAGCCGCGGUAAUACGUAGCAGCAAGCGUUGUUCGGAGUUACUGGGCGUAAAGGGUGCGCAGGCGGCUCUAUAAGUAUGGUGUGAAAUCUCCCGGCUUAACUGGGAGGGUGCGCUAUAGACUGUGGGGCUCGAGUGUGGGAGAGGAAAGUGGAAUUCUGGUGUACCGGUGAAAUGCGUAGAUAUCAGGAGGAACACCGGUGGUGUAAAC